AAAGCAUUGUGCGUUGACGAGUGUGCGACCCCUUUCUCUCCCAUGUACUUUUUUAUAUACCCUUUGGCCUUGCCUAUCUCCUUGGAUAUUUUAUUGGAUGCAGCAGCUCAUUUAAGUGCAUAUCUACAACUCUUAGACAAGCAGGAGCUUGCUCUUGGUACCAUUUAGCUUGAACAGCUACACAUCCAUACAUGCUUCUUGCAUACAUGAACCCCUCUGGCUCUGCUGUGAAGAUGCUGCUGAAGUUUCAUCAUAUCCAGGAGUCUUCCGCAGUCAUUUCUGUCAAGUUUUUCCAGCUGGGCUGUGGAUUAGAAAAACGGGAGUGCAACCUUCUCCUGACGGACUGUACUAGACAACUUGGUUCAAAUAUUCCUCCCUUUUAAUUGCUCCCCACCCUUCUACACCUCCUCCUGCUCUUCCUCCCUGUUGAUGAGUGUGCUGGCUUCUUUUCCUGGUCUUGGCACGAUCGCCAUAGAAGAACACCAGCAUGACAGUAUUAUGCCCAUGAAACCUUAUUUCUGGAAUUAGGCAUGUCUAACCUGCCAAGCUACCUAUUAAAAAUUUUCAACAUGUCCA